UUCUGGCUUCCAGAUUUUGCAGACCAACCUCAUUGCAGGCUGGCCAGUGUGUCUCUGCGUUGGUGGACGUGGUAUUCAGAAGGGGAAAGAAUGUGCUAACAUCACCCUGCAAGUGAAGUAAGAGAGCAGGAGAGUACCUGGAAAGCUGAACUGAUGUGCUACUGACAAACCCUAGAGGACCCAGCAUGAAGACAGAAUUUCCAUUACCAGCAUUGACUAUGAGCAGGCGAUGAAGCACCAGGAGAUCUUAGGUCAGCUUUUUCUGUCCUUUUCUCAGUGCAAGGGGUAGGAUAUUGCACUAGGAGGGUCUGUGUAGCAGGGAGGGUUCUGUCAUGGCUGAGGAACACAGAUAGUGGUGGAUGCUGUUGCUUUUUCACAGGUCAAUGAGGGCUCAUUUCUUUUUUCUUUCAUACUUUCAAGGGCUAUAUUUUCCAGAAGCCAGUAAAAACAGGAUAUAAUGACAUCAAAUUAAUGUCCCUGACUGCUUCUCUCAGGAAAACAGCCUAUGGGCAAGGACCUACAAAGCCAGGAAGGAACAGCCAGGAAAAAUAAGACUACCUUCCCUUGAUGACUUCUCCUCCAGCUAAGGAGACUUCUGCCAUUUGUUCUGCAACAGAACAGUUUGCAUCUUCAUGUCACUGCCUAUGUCAGCAAUGCGCUUUACCCUCUGGACAUAUCCUGGUUGUCACAUGAAUUUGGCAAAGGGUCUCUUUUCCUUGGCUGUACUACACUUACUUCGAUAGAGCUGUGAUCUUUCGUUACAGAACCAGAGAAGUAUCUCACAGACUUGGCCACCUCACUGAAUACUUCAUCCCCUGGACACAGUGCAGAAGAAAGCUGUGGUUGCACUAGCAAUGUUGAAGAUUUUGCCUGUGUGAUAAAAGGAGCUGGAGUGGAUCAUUUUUGGCUGCUUUACAUCAAAGUGCUGAUCAAGGGAAAUGCCCUGCAACCCCUGUACAUUCAGCACUGCUAAGAAAUGGAUGUUUUUUCCUAUGGUGUCUUUCAUGACUGCACUUUAGUUCCCUGCUUUCUGCAGAACAAAUGCUCAUAUAUCUCAAACACUCCAUAUGUCCCCCCGUAGUUUUUUAAUAUAUUUGCUGAUUUCAGUCGACUUCCACAAGCAGAGAUUUCAAAGUAAUAAUGAAAUGUAUUUCUACACAUUUCGUGAGAACUUGUUGUCUCAGAAAGCA